rnacentral:lncRNA from 1 species
GAGAGUCUCGAUUCGAUUUGAAAUGAAUCGGAUGUCAAACGAGCGAUGUAACAUACCGAACUUAUAAAAUUAUGAAGUUACGGUGUACGUUUAAAUGGUUCCGGUGAGGUUGCGGUGGAAUGUAACAUACCGGAUUUUAAAUAUAAAAAUAAAAAUAAAUAAAAAUAGUAUGAGAUACUAUUUUAUUGGAUUUAGAGAAGUGAAAUAUCGGUUGGGAACGACCUGUGCUGAAAUCGGAGCGAAAACAGAAGAUUUAGAAUUUUCUGUUGGAAACGGGACUGAUAAAUUAGCAGAAAAUGCACAGUCUCAGAAAAUUAUGAAAAUUGGCGAGGAUGUCAGAAAUAUUUUAAUGAGGCUAGAUUUAAAGUUUCAUAUUUUUCUGACACCCGUAGAGUGAGAAAUAAAAUCCGAAAGCCAUCUGAUAAAGAUUGCAGUUCGGUAUAGUUUUCAGUGACCAAACGGGGUCGAAACUGAAAUAUUAAAAUUUCUUUGGACUUAUUAAGUAAAACCGAACAUGCCUGUCAAAUUUGAGCUCAAUCGGACAUUCAGAAGGGCUCCAACGAAAUUUAUCAGAUUUCAAGCUGCCCGUAAUGAAUAGUGUAUAGUUGAGGGCAAAAUGGUAAAAAGGGAUUAAAUCCCCUUUGCUUCUUCUUCCUCCCAGCCGAACACAUCACACGCACACAACACACACGCAUGGAAGGAGAAGAGAAAACCCUCUCUUUCUCUCUCUAAAUCUCUCCCAAAAGAGGUGAAAUUGGUGGAGAAGAAGCUUGGAGGGAUCAUCAACACCAUCAUCUUCUUCUUCUUCAUUUUGGAGCAAGCUCUUGGAGGUAAGCACCUUACCCAUUAAUGGUAGAUCCUUAAUGGUUGGGUUAAAUAGCUUAUAAAUGGAUUUAGAGGAAUCCUAGCAUGCUAUCUAGAUGAAUGAUGCUUAAAUCAUGAAUCAAUUUGGUGAUUUCUUGCAUAGUUGUAACCUAGGGCUCCAAAAUGCUAAUUUUCAAAAUAUGAGGGUUUGAUCUAAUUUGACUCUCCGUAAACCUAAUUGCUAGGUAACGAAACGCGUUGGCGAAGACGGUUCGGCAAUCCGACGAGUCGUUACAAAGUUAUUAAAGAAAUAGACGUUUAGGGUUCGGGUCCGCCGGGAGGGCCGAGGCGACGUCGUAAAAUCAUGGAAAUGGAUUUGAGGUAUCAUGGCACAUAACCGAAGACCUAUAAUUUUCGGGGCUGCGAAGCGGAGCACGGUUGAGGCGCAGUUGCAGUAUCGGGCCGUGCCGGAUACGGGUGCCGCGGGAGGCCGAUUGUAAGUGUCGACAAGCAAUCGGAACGCGAAUUAAGGUGGGUUGUGUUUACCGAAGCGACUAGGUCGCCUUUAUGUCUAAGAAACUAAGAAUCCAUGUUGAUGCAUAUAAAUGUAAAUAAAGCAUGUAAAUGAUGCAUAUAGCUAAAUAAUGCAUGUUGAUAGUAUGAUGUAAAUGCUAAAUAGAAUGCAUUAUGAGCAAGUUACAUAAUGCUAAAUAAUGUAAUGUAGAAAUGCUAGAAUGCAUUAUGAGCAAGUUACAUAAUGCUAAAUAAUGUAAUGUAGAAAUGCUAGAAUGCAUAAUGAGCAAGUUAUAUGAUGCAUGUUUAUAGUAUGAUGUAAAUGCUAAGUAGAUGCAUAUAAAUGAUAUAUGAGAUUAUAAACGCAUGAUUAGCAUUAUGAGAUCAUAGAUGCAUGCUUAGCAUUGUGAGAUUAUAUAUGCAUAUGAACUUGGUUGAUAACUCUAGCUUGAAUAGAGAGAUAACAUUGGAAAAUGAGAAUUGA